rnacentral:rRNA from 1 species
UACGUAGGGUGCAAGCGUUGUCCGGAAUUAUUGGGCGUAAAGAGCUCGUAGGCGGUUUGUCGCGUCUGCUGUGAAAAUCCAGGGCUUAACCCUGGACCUGCAGUGGGUACGGGCAGACUAGAGUGCGGUAGGGGAGAUCGGAAUUCCUGGUGUAGCGGUGAAAUGCGCAGAUAUCAGGAGGAACACCGGUGGCGAAGGCGGAUCUCUGGGCCUGUCCUGACGCUCAGGCGCGAAAGCUAGGGGAGCAAACAGG